rnacentral:rRNA from 1 species
ACCAACCGGGAUUCCCUGAGUAAGGGCGACUGAAACGGGAACAGCCCAGCGCAUAACCUCGCGGUCUUCCCGGCCGUCGAGGGGUGUUGCGUUUCGGUGGAUCCGUCCCGCUCGAGCUGCUUACCGCCUAAGUCAUUGCUUGAAAGCAGCCCCAAGGAGGGUGAUAGGCCCGUGUGGCGGCGCCUGUAAAAAGGGUCAAGGCAGCCCGGGCGGAGGGAUCUUCACCGUAGAGUCGGGUUGCUUAGUACUGCAGCCCUAAGCAGGUGGUAAACUCCAUCUAAGGCUAAAUACAACCACGAGUCCGAUAGAGAACAAGUACCGUGAGGGAAAGCUGAAAAGGACUUUGAAGAGAGAGUUCAAGAGGACGUGAAACCGUUAGGAGCCUAAACGGGUGGAACCGCGAAGGUCGAACGAGGGGAUUCAGCUCGUCGGCCUCCGGCGUGCGAGGUGCUGUACAUACGAAUUAACAUGAGAGGACCCGGCGUGAAUGUGCUAUAGCCGUGGCCCAGCCCUCGCCUCCGGAGUGUCGUCGGGCUUACUUCUCCCUCUAGUAGGUCGCCGCGACACGUUGCGGGGACCCCCAGGGUCGUGCCGGAUUGGUAGCCUGGACCGCAAGGUCCAGGUGAUGACCGGCUGCGAUUCCGACGGGCCCCGUGCGACGUUCACUGCCAGGAGGCCG